rnacentral:rRNA from 1 species
UGCCAGACUCCUACGGGAGGCAGCAGUGGGGAAUAUUGCACAAUGGGGGAAACCCUGAUGCAGCAACGCCGCGUGAGUGAAGAAGUCAUUCGUGAUGUAAAGCUCUAUCAGCAGGGAAGAAAAUGACGGUACCUGAGUAAGAAGCCCCGGCUAACUACGUGCCAGCAGCCGCGGUAAUACGUAGGGGGCGAGCGUUAUCCGGAUUUACUGGGUGUAAAGGGAGCGUAGACGGCCAUGCAAGCUCGGUGUGGAAGGUGCGGGCGCAACCCGCAGAGUGCUCUGAGAACUGUAUGGCUGGAGUGCCGGAGGGGGAGGCGGGAUUCCUGGUGUAGCGGUGAAAUACGUAGAUAUCAGGAGGAACACCGGUAGCGAAGGCGGCCUGCUGGGCGGCGACUGGCGUUG